CCGACGGUGAGGGGUGAAAGCUGGGGGAGCAAACCGGAUUAGAUACCCGGGUAGUCCCAGCCGUAAACGAUGUGCGUUAGGUGUAUCGGUGACCACGAGUCACCGAGGUGCCGAAGAGAAAUCGUGAAACGUACCGCCUGGGAAGUACGGUCGCAAGGCUGAAACUUAAAGGAAUUGGCGGGGGAGCACCACAACAGGUGGAGCCUGCGGUUUAAUCGGACUCAACGCCGGGAAACUCACCAGAUAAGACAGCUGAAUGAUAGUCGGGCUGAAGACUCUACUUGACUAGCUGAGAGGAGGUGCAUGGCCGUCGUCAGUUCGUACUGUGAAGCAUCCUGUUAAGUCAGGCAACGAGCGAGCCCACGCCAACAGUUGCUA
rnacentral:rRNA from 1 species